UUUUUCUGGCCUGUGUGGUCAGGUACCUUCUCCUGAAGGAGUCGUCAUUGGUUCGGUAGUGACAUGUCUCACAGGAUUGCCAUCAACCUUUCUUUUCUUAUGUUGGCUUUUUGGUCAGUUUAUUGUUCCUGAUCUUCUCAGUGAUGUAUAGAUAUAUUGCAUAGGGAACCCCGGUGACUAGCUUACUAUUCCGUGCAGUUAGCGGGGAUCCCCGCAAG
rnacentral:lncRNA from 1 species